GAUGAACGCUGGCGGCGUGCCUAAUACAUGCAAGUCGAGCGAAUGGAUUAAGAGCUUGCUCUUAUGAAGUUAGCGGCGGACGGGUGAGUAACACGUGGGUAACCUGCCCAUAAGACUGGGAUAACUCCGGGAAACCGGGGCUAAUACCGGAUAACAUUUUGAACCGCAUGGUUCGAAAUUGAAAGGCGGCUUCGGCUGUCACUUAUGGAUGGACCCGCGUCGCAUUAGCUAGUUGGUGAGGUAACGGCUCACCAAGGCAACGAUGCGUAGCCGACCUGAGAGGGUGAUCGGCCACACUGGGACUGAGACACGGCCCAGACUCCUACGGGAGGCAGCAGUAGGGAAUCUUCCGCAAUGGACGAAAGUCUGACGAGGCAACGCCUCGUGAGUGAUGAAGGCUUUCGGGUCGUAAAACUCUGUUGUUAGGGAAGAACAAGUGCUAGUUGAAUAAGCUGGCACCUUGACGGUACCUAACCAGAAAGCCACGGCUAACUACGUGCCAGCAGCCGCAGUAA
rnacentral:rRNA from 1 species